rnacentral:rRNA from 1 species
GAUGAACGCUGGCGGCGUGCCUAAUACAUGCAAGUCGAGCGAACAGAUAAGGAGCUUGCUCCUUUGACGUUAGCGGCGGACGGGUGAGUAACACGUGGGUAACCUACCUAUAAGACUGGAAUAACUCCGGGAAACCGGGGCUAAUGCCGGAUAACAUUUAGAACCGCAUGGUUCUACAGUGAAAGAUGGUUUUGCUAUCACUUAUAGAUGGACCCGCGCCGUAUUAGCUAGCUGGUAAGGUAACGGCUUACCAAGGCAACGAUACGUAGCCGACCUGAGAGGGUGAUCGGCCACACUGGAACUGAGACACGGUCCAGACUCCUACGGGAGGCAGCAGUAGGGAAUCUUCCGCAAUGGGCGAAAGCAUGACGGAGCAACGCCGCGUGAGUGAUGAAGGUCUUCGGAUCGUAAAACUCUGUUAUUAGGGAAGAACAAAUGUGUAAGUAACUGUGCACGUCUUGACGGUACCUAAUCAGAAAGCCACGGCUAACUACGUG